AGUGAACGCUGGCGGUAGGCCUAACACAUGCGAGUCGAACGGCAGCACAGUAAGAGCUUGCUCUUACGGGUGGCGGGUGGCGGACGGGUGAGGAAUACAUCGGAAUCUACUUUUUCGUGGGGGAUAACGUAGGGAAACUUACGCUAAUACCGCAUACGACCUACGGGUGAAAGCAGGGGAUCUUCGGACCUUGCGCGAUUGAAUGAGCCGAUGUCGGAUUAGCUAGUUGGCGGGGUAAAGGCCCACCAAGGCGACGAUCCGUAGCUGGUCUGAGAGGAUGAUCAGCCACACUGGAACUGAGACACGGUCCAGACUCCUACGGGAGGCAGCAGUGGGGAAUAUUGGACAAUGGGCGCAAGCCUGAUCCAGCCAUACCGCGUGGGUGAAGAAGGCCUUCGGGUUGUAAAGCCCUUUUGUUGGGAAAGAAAAGCAGCAGGUUAAUACCCCGCUGUUCUGACGGUACCCAAAGAAUAAGCACCGGCUAACUUCGU
rnacentral:rRNA from 1 species